rnacentral:rRNA from 1 species
GAUGAACGCUGGCGGCGUGCCUAAUACAUGCAAGUAGAACGCUGAAGCUUGGUGCUUGCACCGAGCGGAUGAGUUGCGAACGGGUGAGUAACGCGUAGGUAACCUGCCUGGUAGCGGGGGAUAACUAUUGGAAACGAUAGCUAAUACCGCAUAACAGUAGAUGUUGCAUGACAACUAUUUGAAAGGGGCAAUUGCUCCACUACCAGAUGGACCUGCGUUGUAUUAGCUAGUUGGUGAGGUAACAGCUCACCAAGGCGACGAUACAUAGCCGACCUGAGAGGGUGAUCGGCCACACUGGGACUGAGACACGGCCCAGACUCCUACGGGAGGCAGCAGUAGGGAAUCUUCGGCAAUGGACGGAAGUCUGACCGAGCAACGCCGCGUGAGUGAAGAAGGUUUUCGGAUCGUAAAGCUCUGUUGUGAAGAGAAGAACGAGUGUGAGAGUGGAGAGUUCACACUGGACGAUCUACCA